rnacentral:lncRNA from 1 species
GUAAUACUAUAAUGAUAACAUUGCAGUUGUGUUCUUUUCUGAGAGCAAUAAACUGACUAGUUGCACCAAACUCAUGCAAAUCAAGUUUCUGACAGUCAAGGAUUUGGUGAGACAAGGAAAUAUCAUAUCUUUGACUGUCAAAAGAUAAUCUUUUAAGACCAACAAAACUAGCCAUAAACGCAGGUGUGUGUAUAUUCUUUUAAGAACUACAAAACUAAGCAAAACUAACAAAACUUUGAUGGUCUAAGCUAAUUUGACCCGCCUAACUAACUAAUUUUCAAUCAGUCUUCGUCAGUCGAAAGACAAUACUCCUGGUGAACAUUAUGGCUAAAGGCUUUACUGGCUAUCAUAAACAAAUAGGAUACGAUAUAUCACACACCACAGAGGAAGAAAAACCUGGACCUCCAGAGAGUGGCUAACAUGCCCAGCAUGCAAUGACAAUAGUACAGGAGAGAAUUGUCAAGCUCUCACCCACGAUUUUCUGAAAUUUCCACCAUCACCCGCAGCUAAACAUGAAUCAAAUGAUGGAUAAUUAACCUCAUAUUCAACCAACAUGAGAGAUAAUUAGAUAUGUUGCUAGCAGCAUCUGGAAAGGAUGCAUUGCCUCCUGCAAAAAGGAAGGGAAGGCAAGACUCUUAUCCUUGUCUUAUCAAAAAAUGGUGGACGGUUAAUCAAACCAUGGAGGUUCAUGUGCACAAUGCUUUGCAAGAACUUGUGUCCAUUGAAUAGAGUUAUCAAUGGCAAGCAUAGGUACAGUGAAACAGUGAGCAAAUCUGGCAUCCUACAAGAGUACCUCAGUGUCCACAACACCAACAAACAUUAAAUUAAGAAGACUUUUCAUCAACCAUUCACAGGGGCGGAUCCAUGUGGAGGGUUAUGGGGCACGUGAACCCAUGCAUUCUUCCCUAGAUUGUGUAUCACACUGGUACUUUUCUGAUAAAGUACUUAGAAGUUCAUGUGGGAACCCAUACAAGAGAGCAUUUGGUGCAGUGGUGGCAUUGUGCACCUUUGGCCUUAGGUCUUAAGUUCGAAUCCCACUUCCCUAUCUUUCACCUUAGAGCCAAUUUUCUAUCUCGUUUUCUUUCUUUUCUGUGUCAGUUGAAAUCCCAUGCCCUAUCUUUCUUUUCUGUUUUUUUCCCUUUGUUCUUCUCUUUUUCUGGUUCACUCUUUGACCUAUCUUUUAAUUAAAUUCCUGCCUUCCUAUUAUUAUUUUUGGAUUCUCUUUCUUUUUUCUUCUUUUGUGUUUUCUUCAUUUCUCUUUUGGUUCAAUCGUUGAGUUUCAAAAACUCUAAAAUAUAAGAUUUUAAGUUAGUUUGAAUCUUUUCAAUUUAAAGUUACCUCUCUUUAUUUACCAUUCUUGUUUCGAAUAUUUAUUCAGUUUUACUAAUAGAGCUAAGUCCUCUCUACCUUCACAAAGGCAGGGGUGAGGUCUCCGUACACACUGCCUUCCCAAGACCCCAUGAUGUGGGAUAAUACUGGGUGUGUUGUUGUUGUACUAAUAGAGCUAAGUAUUUGUAACUAUAAAUAAUGAUGCUAUCAUUGUUAAUUCUCCAAGGUAGGAAAAUUAUUCAGGCAUUCAUCAACGAAAUGAUACAUUUUUGUAAUAAUAAUAUUAAUUGUUGUUUACUUGUCAAGUUGUUGUCAUGGCUAAAUUUUAGAGAACACCCAUCCUCCCCAAAUUCUGAAUACGCCUCUAAUCAUUCAUCAUUUCCCUUGCUAAUAGAAAUAUAGAAUUGUCUGAAUUGAGUUCCUUCUCCAUUCAACCCUUUUCAGAUAUGUAAUUGUAUGACAAAUAUCAAAGAUCUAUCCUAAUCAACAAUUAAAUCCAGCAGGAAGGAAUCACAAUUCAAGUCUUGCUUAGGAGACACCUAAAAUAACUGUGCAUGAGUCAUAAUAAAAUAUGGAUACAAAGAUACAAUUUUCAAGACAACUACCAGGGUACCCAAAUGUGACUAUAACAAAUAACAUUAUUAUGGAAAUAUAAGGCAAUUAAAGCAGCAAUCCAUCCCGAUAAAUAUCUGUAACCCCAUCCACCUUAAACUGCAGAGUAAACACUCAAAGAGCUCUGUCUAUGUAUGUACAUGUAUACCAAAAACAUAACAUAAGAAGGUCCAAAAUGCUGGCACAUAUCCAAACAAAUAAAAAGCUUAAUCGUUACAACCAUAUCUCAACACACAAAGAAAAUACUAAUAACUUUUGUUAAAAUAACAUCAAAUUCUACAGACUAGGCCCAAAUCGGAAGCAAAUGAUACUCUACUAAAUAACUACUAAUAAGAAGAAAUAUUUACCAGUGGUACAUUGAAGAAUACUCUAAUAGAGUUGGAGAUUUUGGAUGAAAACGCCCCAAUAAGCCUUUGAUAACUAGAUCUUCCAUUAUCCUGUCACAGAUGACUCGCACUUAUCACACUAAAAACCUUCCAAAAUAUUUGAUUCGAAGGGUCGUUGUAGAGAAGGGCGAAAGUCAUCUGCGACAGGAGCACCGGAAGAUCUGAACAUCAAAGGCGUCGGAACGAUUCGAUUUUUGGAGACUGAGAAAUUAAAGAGAUUUUU